CUUCAGAGUACGGAAGUAUGAUGCCGUGCUAGCUUACCUGAUGCGUCACGAACUGAUAUAAAGACAUAGACCAUCAGUUUGGCACGAAAUAGUACAACGGAUUCCCUCCUCCAGUGUAGGUCGUUGGCAUUCGAUAAAGAAUGACCAUUCAAGCUGGAAAUUCACCGCUUUUUAUUCAAGGCGCGAACUGGGGCAUUGAAAAUAUAGUUGAAGUUCCUGUAGAUUCUGUGCUUGGCGAUCCGGCGUUCGUCUACGUCAACGUGUUCGCCCUGAUCUUUCGAGUUGUAGUUCAGCUGGAAAGACUUUUCGUUAAAGAAAAACCCGCUCCUCUAGAAAGAUCGGUGAAGAUCAACGAAACAUCUUCAAUUUACUAGAGAGAUCUUUGCAGAACACUGGAAUCGAUGGUAGGGCUUGUCUCCUACGGGCUAUAUGUGAGAUGCAGCAAAACCCGUUUAAUCACUAUUCGAUUAUGGGAGAAAUUCUGACAGCUCUUUUGACACCUAAACGAGCUGCUGGAAACCUGAUGCAAGAGUAUUUAGAAGCGGAAAAGCUGGGUCAAGCGGAUGCAGAGUUUUGCAUUACAAACUAUUCGGGAUGUCCAGUGUCACUUUUCAACAUGAUGCGCACGUACAGUACACCAGCCGACAAGCCGCACAUUCAUCAUCACGCAAAAGAUGCCAAAGAAGAGGGAAGAUUUCUUGAUGCAGAAGCAUCAGACGUAGAUCCGGGUGGAAUAGAUGAUGACGAUCAUGGUACCUGUAACUUUAGGGUCGACAUGUUUUAAAAUCGAUGUGACAUUACAUGAUCAUUUUCAAAUAACAAGAAAAAAGCUGGGCGGCAAAAAAUUGCUGUUGUCUAUUUAUAACUGUUAACUUACCUUAUCUAUUGCCAAAUACCUUUACUGUCUCAUCUUUUGCAUGUGAAAAUUACCCGAAAGGAAGUUUUUGAAAUAAAACAAUACACAGUUCUCAACCGUA